ACGUUAGCGGCGGACGGGUGAGUAACACGUGGGUAACCUACCUAUAAGACUGGGAUAACUUCGGGAAACCGGAGCUAAUACCGGAUAAUAUUUCGAACCGCAUGGUUCGAUAGUGAAAGAUGGUUUUGAUAUCACUUAUAGAUGGACCCGCGCCGUAUUAGCUAGUUGGUAAGGUAACGGCUUACCAAGGCGACGAUACGUAGCCGACCUGAGAGGGUGAUCGGCCACACUGGAACUGAGACACGGUCCAGACUCCUACGGGAGGCAGCAGCC
rnacentral:rRNA from 1 species